AACGCACCUUGCGCUCCUUGGUAUUCCGAGGAGCAUGCCUGUUUGAGUGUCAUUAAAUUUCUCAACCUUUCCAGCUUUUAUUAGCUUGGUCAGGCUUGGAUGUGGGAGUUGCAGGCUUUAUUUAUGAAGGUCUGCUCUCCUGAAAUGCAUUAGCGGAACUUUUGUGGACCGUCUAUUGGUGUGAUAAUUAUCUACACCGUGGAUGUAAAGCAGUUUUUAUAAAGUUCAGCUUCUAACUGUCCAUUGACUUGGACAAUUUUGACAAUUUUGACCUCAAAUCAGGUAGGACUACCCGCUGAACUUAA
rnacentral:rRNA from 1 species